rnacentral:rRNA from 1 species
GAUCCUGGCUCAGGAUGAACGCUGACAGAAUGCUUAACACAUGCAAGUCUAUUUUUGAUCCUUCGGGUGAUGGUGGCGGACGGGUGAGUAACGCGUAAAGAACUUGCCCUGCAGUCUGGGACAACAUUUGGAAACGAAUGCUAAUACCGGAUAUUAUGUGAGUUUCGCAUGAAAUUCAUAUGAAAGCUAUAUGCGCUGCAGGAGAGCUUUGCGUCCUAUUAG